GGAAUAAAAGUCGUAACAAGGUUUCCGUAGGUGAACCUGCGGAAGGAUCAUUACUGAGUGAGGGCCCUCUGGGUCCAACCUCCCACCCGUGUUUAUUAUACCUUGUUGCUUCGGUGAGCCCGCCUCACAGCCGCCGGGGGGCAUCUGCCCCCGGGCCCGCGCCCACCGAAGACACCUAGAACUCUGUAUGAAGAUUGCAGUCUGAGCAAAAACUAAAUAAGUUAAAACUUUCAACAACGGAUCUCUUGGUUCCG
rnacentral:misc_RNA from 1 species